rnacentral:rRNA from 1 species
UACGUGGGGGGCGAGCGUUGUUCGGAUUUACUGGGCGUAAAGCGCGCGUAGGCGGCUAGAUAAGUCGGUUGUGAAAUCCCUCGGCUUAACCGAGGGCCGGCAUCCGAUACUGCCUGGCUCGAGUGUAGGAGAGGAAAGCGGAAUUCCCAGUGUAGCGGUGAAAUGCGUAGAUAUUGGGAGGAACACCGGUGGCGAAGGCGGCUUGCCGGACUAGCACUGACGCUGAGGCGCGAAAGCUAGGGGAGCGAACGGG